rnacentral:rRNA from 1 species
UACAGAGGGUGCAAGCGUUGUCCGGAAUCACUGGGCGUAAAGGGCGCGUAGGCGGCCUGAUAAGUCGGGGGUGAAAUUCUGCGGCUUAACCGCAGGACGGCCUUCGAGACUGUCGGGCUUGAGCACGGUAGAGGCUGGUGGAAUUCCCGGUGUAGCGGUGGAAUGCGUAGAGAUCGGGAAGAACAUCGGUGGCGGAGGCGGCCAGCUGGGCCGUUGCUGACGCUGAGGCGCGACAGCGUGGGGAGCAAGACGAUGGAUAGACGUACCUGAGUACGUCC